UACAGAGGGUGCAAGCGUUAAUCGGAUUUACUGGGCGUAAAGCGUGCGUAGGUGGCUCGCUAAGUCGAUUGUGAAAGCCCUGGGCUCAACCUGGGAAUUGCAGUCGAUACUGGAGAGCUCGAGUUCGGUAGAGGGUGACGGAAUUCCCGGUGUAGCGGUGAAAUGCGUAGAUAUCGGGAGGAACAUCGAUGGCGAAGGCAAUCACCUGGGCCUGAACUGACACUGAGACACGAAAGCGUGGGUAGCAAACAGG
rnacentral:rRNA from 1 species